rnacentral:rRNA from 1 species
AGUGAACGCUGGCGGUAGGCCUAACACAUGCAAGUCGAACGGCAGCACAGUAAGAGCUUGCUCUUACGGGUGGCGAGUGGCGUACGGGUGAGGAAUACAUCGGAAUCUACUUUUUCGUGGGGGAUAACGUAGGGAAACUUACUCUAAUACCGCAUACGACCUACGGUUGAAAGCAGGGGAUCUUCGGACCUUGCGCGAUUGAAUGAGCCGAUGUCGGAUUAGCUAGUUGGCGGGGUAAAGGCCCACCCAGGCGACGAUCCGUAGCUGGUCUGAGAGGAUGAUCAGCCACACUGGAACUGGGACACGGUCCAGACUCCUACGGGAGGCAGCAGUGGGGAAUAUUGGACAAUGGGCGCAAGCCUGAUCCAGCCAUACCGCGUGGGUGAAGAAGGCCUUCGGGUUGUAAAGCCCUUUUGUUGGGAAAGAAAAGCAGCAGGUUAAUACCCCGCUGUUCUGACGGUACCCAAAGAAUAAGCACCGGCUAACUUCGUG